AUUGAACGCUGGCGGCAGGCCUAACACAUGCAAGUCGAACGAGUGGCGGACGGGUGAGUCAUGUCUGGGAAACUGCCUUCUGGCGGGGGAUAACUACUGGAACCGGUAUCUAAUACCGCAUACCCUCAGCUGUGGCCAGAUGGGAUUCGCUUGUUGGUGGGGUAACGGCUCACCAAGGCGACGAUCCCUAGCUGGUCUGAGAGGAUGACCGGCCACACUGGAACUGAGACACGGUCCAGACUCCGACGGGAGGCAGCAGUGGGGAAUAUUGCACAAUGGGCGCAAGCCUGAUGCAGCCAGGCCGCGUGUAGGAAGAAGGCCUUCGGGUGGUAAAGUACUUUCAGCGGGGAGGCGGUACCCGCAGAGGAAGCACCGGCUAACUCCGUGCCAGCAGCCGCGGUAAUAC
rnacentral:rRNA from 1 species